UACGAAGGGGGGCUAGCGUUGCUCGGAUUGACUGGGCGUAAAGGGCGCGUAGGCGGGCUAUCAAGUCCGGGGUGAAAUCCUCCAGCUUAACUGGAGAACUGCCUCGGAUACUGAUGGUCUCGAGGAGGAUAGGGGCACACGGAACUGUGGGUGGAGCGGUGAAAUGCGUUGAUAUCCAUAGGAACUCCGGUGGCGAAAGCGGUGUGC
rnacentral:rRNA from 1 species